GUAGGUUAUAUAUAUAUAUAUAUAUAUAUAUGUCGCCGUGAUUUUGCCAAGUAAGACAUGUUCCUGGAUCAACAUCUUUUGAUGAUCCUGGAUUAACAUUAUUGUCCAAAAAUAUAGACUUAACCCAAUCCCUACCCCUAAACCUAACCUUACCCAUAAUUUAUUCCUAAAAUCAGUGGGAAAUGAUAGCUGAUUAACAAGGGUGUAGAAGCACCUAACCCUGAUUUUAAGCCUAAAACAGAUAUUUCCUGAAAAGUUAUAUCUCAACUCUGAUUGGUUGAUUGGAAUGUUGUUCCAGGAUCAACAAGGAUGUUGUACUUGGUGAAAUCACGCUCACCAUAUAUAUAUAUAUAUUCUUACAAAAGAAGGUCUGUUAUAGGCUACUAAUAUAAUUUUGUGUGUGAUUUUGUUUGUUUGGUUUUAUGUGUGACUGGAAAUCUCAAGCACUCUCCCCAUAUUAUCAGACUUGAAUUGUGGAUCAGAAACCUACAAUCCCCAUGAACAAAUGUGUUGCUCAGGGAAUCUGUAUAAGAAGGCAUCAGCACUUACUAAGUGCUGUGGCGAAGAUGCUUACAUUCUGUCAGAUGACAAUGUGCUGUGCUGUAAUGGAAUCCUUCAUCGCAAUGUGCCUGAGCAGUCAGAGUGUGUUGGAGGUGUUAUGUAUACUCCAGCAAACACUACUUGCCAAAUGUCGACCCGUCCUCGUCUUGGCGAGCACUGCUGUGGAGGACAAACCUUCAAUCCUCGCACGCAUAUUUGCUGUAAUGGACACAGCCACAACAAGAUGAAUGGCAAUUUCUGUUGUGGUUCAGAAGUCUAUGACCACCACAACCAGUUCUUGAGAUGCUGCUCAGGUCAUCUCUACAACCUAACCCAUUUACGUGGAAAUGCAGAGUGCUGUGGAAGCCUAUUGCUGAAAUAUAGUAAUCACAUUUGCUGUUCCUCCUCAACCAAUUCCGUAAUGUAUGACACCAAAAGAAACCACCGUUGCUGUGGGCAUUACUACUACAACACAUCCCUGUGGAGCUGCUGUGCUGAACGUCUCAAACCAACACCAAAGCCUAACAGCUCUCCUGAAGAAUACAGACCUAAACCCCUAACAGGCCUUAUCCCUGAAAUGUGCAAUAAAACAGUGUUCUUUGGCAGAGUGGAGAGUGUGGCACUUGAAAAUGAUCUGCGUCAUGUGGUGUUGAAAGUUGUGUGGCAAGUCAAUAUGAAAUCUGAAAAUUUAAUCAAAGACCCUUGGCUUCAUGUGUCCCUGGAUCACUGCAGCUCUCCUGCCACAGAUAACGGCAUGACCUACCUUUGGGAGGAAAACCACAAUGGGAAGUACAAGCUUCUCUCUCACCCUGUUGACCUAACAUCUGACAUUUACAUGUUAUAUUCUGUAUGUUACCAAAAGAAGGGAUAGAAAUAUGGAUUGAGGUCUAUUUACCAUCAUUUCAAAGCAUGCAGGUUGUCAUAAGAUUCCUGAUCAUUUUUAUCCAUCAUUAAUGAUAAAUGACAAUAGAGGAAAGUCUCUGUUACUAUACACAGCAUUACGGCAU
ensembl:lncRNA